GAUGAGAACGCAGCGAAAUGCGAUAAGUAAUGUGAAUUGCAGAAUUCAGUGAAUCAUCGAAUCUUUGAACGCACAUUGCGCCCGCCAGUAUUCUGGCGGGCAUGCCUGUUCGAGCGUCAUUACAACCCUCAGGCCCCCGGGCCUGGCGUUGGGGAUCGGCGGAAGCCCCCUGCGGGCACAACGCCGUCCCCCAAAUACAGUGGCGGUCCCGCCGCAGCUUCCAUUGCGUAGUAGCUAACACCUCGCAACUGGAGAGCGGCGCGGCCACGCCGUAAAACACCCAACUUCUGAAUGUUGACCUCGAAUCAGGUAGGAAUACCCGCUGAACUUAAGCAUAUCAAUAAGCGGAGGA
rnacentral:misc_RNA from 1 species